AGCAGCCGCGGUAAUUCCAGCUCCAAUAGCGUAUAUUAAAGUUGUUGCAGUUAAAAAGCUCGUAGUCGAAUUUCGGGAUCAAUAUGUCUGUCGUGCCUUUGGUACGUACGGGUAUAAUUGGUUUCUACCUUCUGAUGAACCUUGAUGCCAUUAAUUUGGUGUCUUGGGGACUCAGGACUGUUACCUUGAAAAAAUUAGAGUGUUUAAAGCAGGCAUACGCUUGAAUACAUUAGCAUGGAAUAAUGAAAUAGGACGUUCGAUUCUAUUUUGUUGGUUUCUAGGAUCGACGUAAUGAUUAAUAGGGAUAGUUGGGGGCAUUAGUAUUCAAUUGUCAGAGGUGAAAUUCUUGGAUUUAUUGAAGACUAACUACUGCGAAAGCAUUUGCCAAGGAUGUUUUCAUUCAUCAAGAACGAAAGUUAGGGGAUCGAAGACGAUCAGAUACCGUCGUAGUCUUAACCAUAAACUAUGCCGACUAGGGAUCGGAUGAUGUAAUUUUUAAUGACUCAUUCGGCGCCUUAAC
rnacentral:rRNA from 1 species